UGGGGGAUAUUGCACAAUGGGGGAAACCCUGAUGCAGCGACGCCGCGUGGAGGAAGAAGGUUUUCGGAUUGUAAACUCCUGUCGUUAGGGACGAUAAUGACGGUACCUAACAAGAAAGCACCGGCUAACUACGUGCCAGCAGCCGCGGUAAAACGUAGGGUGCAAGCGUUGUCCGGAAUUACUGGGUGUAAAGGGAGCGCAGGCGGGAAGACAAGUUGGAAGUGAAAACCAUGGGCUCAACCCAUGAAUUGCUUUCAAAACUGUUUUUCUUGAGUAGUGCAGAGGUAGAUGGAAUUCCCGGUGUAGCGGUGGAAUGCGUAGAUAUCGGGAGGAACACCAGUGGCGAAGGCGGUCUACUGGGCACCAACUGACGCUGAGGCUCGAAAGCAUGGGUAGCAAACAGGAUUAGAUACCCUGGUAGUCCAUGCCGUAAACGAUGAUUACUAGGUGUUGGGGGAUUGACCCCCUCAGUGCCGCAGUUAACACAAUAAGUAAUCCACCUGGGGAGUACGACCGCAAGGUUGAAACUCAAAGGAAUUGACGGGGGCCCGCACAAGCAGUGGAGUAUGUGGUUUAAUUCGACGCAACGCGAAGAACCUUACCAAGUCUUGACAUCCUGCGACGCGCAUAGAAAUAUGUGUUUCCUUCGGGGACACAAAGACAGGUGGUGCAUGGUUGUCGUCAGCUCGUGUCGUGAGAUGUUGGGUUAAGUCCCGCAACGAGCGCAACCCUUAUCAUUAGUUGCUACGCAAGAGCACUCUAAUGAGACUGCCGUUGACAAAACGGAGGAAGGUGGGGAUGACGUCAAAUCAUCAUGCCCUUUAUGACCUGGGCUACACACGUACUACAAUGGCGUUUAACAAAGAGAAGCAAAGCCGCGAGGCAGAGCAAAUCUCCAAAAAACGUCUCAGUUCGGAUUGUAGGCUGCAACUCGCCUACAUGAAGUCGGAAUUGCUAGUAAUCGUAGGUCAGCAUACUACGGUGAAUACGUUCCC
rnacentral:rRNA from 1 species